rnacentral:sRNA from 1 species
CUUCUUCGAUCUGCUGCGGGCAGAUGAAGUGGAUGUGCGUGUCGACGCCGCCCGCGGUGAGGAUCAUGCCUUCACCGGCGAUCACUUCGGUGCUGGCGCCGACCGCGAUGGUUACAUUCGGCUGGACGUCCGGGUUACCGGCCUUGCCGAUGGCCGCAAUGCGCCCAUCCUUGAGGCCGACGUCGGCUUUGACGAUGCCCCAAUGGUCGAUGAUCAGCGCGUUGGUGAUCAGCGUGUCGACCACAUCACAGGCCAGUAACUGGCUCUGACCCUGGCCAUCGCGGAU